GGUUAAGCGACUAAGCGUACACGGUGGAUGCCCUGGCAGUCAGAGGCGAUGAAGGACGUGCUAAUCUGCGAAAAGCGUCGGUAAGGUGAUAUGAACCGUUAUAACCGGCGAUGUCCGAAUGGGGAAACCCAGUGCAAUUCGUUGCACUAUCGUUAACUGAAUACAUAGGUUAACGAGGCGAACCGGGGGAACUGAAACAUCUAAGUACCCCGAGGAAAAGAAAUCAACCGAGAUUCCCCCAGUAGCGGCGAGCGAACGGGGAGCAGCCCAGAGUCUGAAUCAGCUUGUGUGUUAGUGGAACGGUCUGGAAAGUCCGACGGUACAGGGUGAUAGUCCCGUACACCAAAAUGCACAGGCUGUGAACUCGAAGAGUAGGGCGGGACACGUGGUAUCCUGUCUGAAUAUGGGGGGACCAUCCUCCAAGGCUAAAUACUCCUGACUGACCGAUAGUGAACCAGUACCGUGAGGGAAAGGCGAAAAGAACCCCGGCGAGGGGAGUGAAAAAGAACCUGAAACCGUGUACGUACAAGCAGUGGGAGCACCUUCGGGUGUGACUGCGUACCUUUUGUAUAAUGGGUCAGCGACUUAUAUUCUGUAGCAAGGUUAACCGUAUAGGGGAGCCGCAGGGAAACCGAGUCUUAACUGGGCGUUAAGUUGCAGGGUAUAGACCCGAAACCCGGUGAUCUAGCCAUGGGCAGGUUGAAGGUUGGGUAACACUAACUGGAGGACCGAACCGACUAAUGUUGAAAAAUUAGCGGAUGACUUGUGGCUGGGGGUGAAAGGCCAAUCAAACCGGGAGAUAGCUGGUUCUCCCCGAAAGCUAUUUAGGUAGCGCCUCGUGAAUUCAUCUUCGGGGGUAGAGCACUGUUUCGGCUAGGGGGUCAUCCCGACUUACCAACCCGAUGCAAACUACGAAUACCGAAGAAUGUUAUCACGGGAGACACACGGCGGGUGCUAACGUCCGUCGUGAAGAGGGAAACAACCCAGACCGCCAGCUAAGGUCCCAAAGUCAUGGUUAAGUGGGAAACGAUGUGGGAAGGCACAGACAGCCAGGAUGUUGGCUUAGAAGCAGCCAUCAUUUAAAGAAAGCGUAAUAGCUCACUGGUCGAGUCGGCCUGCGCGGAAGAUGUAACGGGGCUAAACCAUGCACCGAAGCUGCGGCAGCGACACUAUGUGUUGUUGGGUAGGGGAGCGUUCUGUAAGCCUGCGAAGGUGUGCUGUGAGGCAUGCUGGAGGUAUCAGAAGUGCGAAUGCUGACAUAAGUAACGAUAAAGCGGGUGAAAAGCCCGCUCGCCGGAAGACCAAGGGUUCCUGUCCAACGUUAAUCGGGGCAGGGUGAGUCGACCCCUAAGGCGAGGCCGAAAGGCGUAGUCGAUGGGAAACAGGUUAAUAUUCCUGUACUUGGUGUUACUGCGAAGGGGGGACGGAGAAGGCUAUGUUAGCCGGGCGACGGUUGUCCCGGUUUAAGCAUGUAGGCUGGUUAUCCAGGCAAAUCCGGAUAAUCAAGGCUGAGGUGUGAUGACGAGGCACUACGGUGCUGAAGUAACAAAUGCCCUGCUUCCAGGAAAAGCCUCUAAGCAUCAGGUAACAUCAAAUCGUACCCCAAACCGACACAGGUGGUCAGGUAGAGAAUACCAAGGCGCUUGAGAGAACUCGGGUGAAGGAACUAGGCAAAAUGGUGCCGUAACUUCGGGAGAAGGCACGCUGGUGUGUAGGUGAAGUCCCUGCGGAUGGAGCUGAGACCAGUCGAAGAUACCAGCUGGCUGCAACUGUUUAUUAAAAACACAGCACUGUGCAAACACGAAAGUGGACGUAUACGGUGUGACGCCUGCCCGGUGCCGGAAGGUUAAUUGAUGGGGUUAUCCGUAAGGAGAAGCUCUUGAUCGAAGCCCCGGUAAACGGCGGCCGUAACUAUAACGGUCCUAAGGUAGCGAAAUUCCUUGUCGGGUAAGUUCCGACCUGCACGAAUGGCGUAAUGAUGGCCAGGCUGUCUCCACCCGAGACUCAGUGAAAUUGAACUCGCUGUGAAGAUGCAGUGUACCCGCGGCAAGACGGAAAGACCCCGUGAACCUUUACUAUAGCUUGACACUGAACAACCUUUACUAUAGCUUGACACUGAACAUUGAGCCUUGAUGUGUAGGAUAGGUGGGAGGCUUUGAAGCGUGGACGCCAGUCUGCGUGGAGCCAACCUUGAAAUACCACCCUUUAAUGUUUGAUGUUCUAACGUUGGCCCCUGACCGGGGUUGCGGACAGUGUCUGGUGGGUAGUUUGACUGGGGCGGUCUCCUCCCAAAGCGUAACGGAGGAGCACGAAGGUUAGCUAAUCCUGGUCGGACAUCAGGAGGUUAGUGCAAUGGCAUAAGCUAGCUUGACUGCGAGCGUGACGGCGCGAGCAGGUGCGAAAGCAGGUCAUAGUGAGAAAGCAGGUCAUAGUGAUCCGGUGGUUCUGAAUGGAAGGGCCAUCGCUCAACGGAUAAAAGGUACUCCGGGGAUAACAGGCUGAUACCGCCCAAGAGUUCAUAUCGACGGCGGUGUUUGGCACCUCGAUGUCGGCUCAUCACAUCCUGGGGCUGAAGUAGGUCCCAAGGGUAUGGCUGUUCGCCAUUUAAAGUGGUACGCGAGCUGGGUUUAGAACGUCGUGAGACAGUUCGGUCCCUAUCUGCCGUGGGCGCUGGAGAAUUGAGGGGGGCUGCUCCUAGUACGAGAGGACCGGAGUGGACGCAUCACUGGUGUUCGGGUUGUCAUGCCAAUGGCACUGCCCGGUAGCUAAAUGCGGAAGAGAUAAGUGCUGAAAGCAUCUAAGCACGAAACUUGCCCCGAGAUGAGUUCUCCCUGAGACUUUAAGUCUCCUGAAGGAACGUUGAAGACGACGACGUUGAUAGGCCGGGUGUGUAAGCGCAGCGAUGCGUUGAGCUAACCG
rnacentral:rRNA from 1 species